UGGGGAAUAUUGCACAAUGGGCGCAAGCCUGAUGCAGCCAUGCCGCGUGUAUGAAGAAGGCCUUCGGGUUGUAAAGUACUUUCAGCGGGGAGGAAGGGAGUAAAGUUAAUACCUUUGCUCAUUGACGUUACCCGCAGAAGAAGCACCGGCUAACUCCGUGCCAGCAGCCGCGGUAAUACGGAGGGUGCAAGCGUUAAUCGGAAUUACUGGGCGUAAAGCGCACGCAGGCGGUUUGUUAAGUCAGAUGUGAAAUCCUCGGGCUCAACCUGGGAACUGCAUCUGAUACUGGCAAGCUUGAGUCUCGAAGAGGGGGGUAGAAUUCCAGGUGUAGCGGUGAAAUGCGUAGAGAUCUGGAGGAAUACCGGUGGCGAAGGCGGCCCCCUGGACGAAGACUGACGCUCAGGUGCGAAAGCGUGGGGAGCAAACAGG
rnacentral:rRNA from 1 species